UACGUAGGGUGCGAGCGUUAAUCGGAAUUACUGGGCGUAAAGUGUGCGCAGGCGGCCGAGCAAGUCGAGUGUGAAAGCCCCGAGCUUAACUUGGGAACUGCGCUCGAAACUACUUGGCUAGAGUGUGGCAGAGGGAGGUGAAUUCCACGUGUAGCGGUGAAAUGCGUAGAGAUGUGGAGGAACACCGAUGGCGAAGCAGCCUCCGUGGGCCAACACUGACGCUCAUGCACGAAGCGUGGGAGCAAACAGG
rnacentral:rRNA from 1 species